GACGUACGCUGGCGGCGUGCUUAACACAUGCAAGUCGAACGGAAAGGCCCUGCUUUUGUGGGGUGCUCGAGUGGCGAACGGGUGAGUAACACGUGAGUAACCUGCCCUUGACUUUGGGAUAACUUCAGGAAACUGGGGCUAAUACCGGAUAGGAGCUCCUGCUGCAUGGUGGGGGUUGGAAAGUUUCGGCGGUUGGGGAUGGACUCGCGGCUUAUCAGCUUGUUGGUGGGGUAGUGGCUUACCAAGGCUUUGACGGGUAGCCGGCCUGAGAGGGUGACCGGCCACAUUGGGACUGGGAUACGGCCCAGACUCCUACGGGAGGCAGCAGUGGGGAAUAUUGCACAAUGGGCGGAAGCCUGAUGCAGCAACGCCGCGUGCGGGAUGACGGCCUUCGGGUUGUAAACCGCUUUCGCCUGUGACGAAGCGUGAGUGACGGUAAUGGGUAAAGAAGCACCGGCUAACUACGUG
rnacentral:rRNA from 1 species